UAAAGCAAUGAAAAGCUUCUACCUGUCACACCACAGCAUUACAUCUCCUCCUCUCCACCUUCAUGUGCAGCUUUCUUCUAUGAUUUGAAACAAAGAAAAUAAACUGUACGUGUUCCAAGCA
rnacentral:lncRNA from 1 species